GAUGAACGCUAGCUACAGGCUUAACACAUGCAAGUCGAGGGGAAACGGCAUUGAGUGCUUGCACUCUUUGGACGUCGACCGGCGCACAGGUGAGUAACGCGUAUCCAACCUUCCCAUUACUGUGGGAUAACCUGCCGAAAGGCAGACUAAUACCGCAUAGUCUUCGAUGACGGCAUCAGAUUUGAAGUAAAGAUUUAUCGGUAAUGGAUGGGGAUGCGUCUGAUUAGCUUGUUGGCGGGGUAACGGCCCACCAAGGCUACGAUCAGUAGGGGUUCUGAGAGGAAGGUCCCCCACAUUGGAACUGAGACACGGUCCAAACACCUACGGGAGGCAGCAGUGAGGAAUAUUGGUCAAUGGACGGAAGUCUGAACCAGCCAAGUAGCGUGCAGGAUGACGGCCCUAUGGGUUGUAAACUGCUUUUGUAUGGGGAUAAAGUUAGGGACGUGUCCCUAUUUGCAGGUACCAUACGAAUAAGGACCGGCUAAUUCCGUG
rnacentral:rRNA from 1 species